ACCAAAUUAACUUAAUGAAUAAAGUAAUUGAUUCCAAAUCAAUAAAUAUAGGUUUAAUUCCUUUAUUUGGUG
rfam:Babesia microti strain RI apicoplast complete genome